rnacentral:rRNA from 1 species
UACAGAGGAGGCGAGCGUUGUCCGGAUUCAUUGGGCGUAAAGAGCACGCAGGCGGUUUGGCAAGUCGGAUGUGAAAACCCGGAGCUCAACUCCGGACCUGCAUCCGAAACUGCCCGACUAGAGGUAGGUAGGGGAGAUCGGAAUUCCUGGUGUAGCGGUGAAAUGCGCAGAUAUCAGGAGGAACACCGGUGGCGAAGGCGGAUCUCUGGGCCUUACCUGACGCUCAGGUGCGAAAGCUAGGGGAGCGAACAGG